UGGAAGGGCAACACAACGUUGAAAAGGAAAAUGGUUCUUCCAUCUCUGAGGCUAAGGUGGCUAGCCAGAAGCCACCAAUAUCGCCAUGAGUCUCUUGUGUUGGAAUUGUCAGGGGUACGGGCAACCCCUAACAAUGCGAGCUCUAAGAGAGCAAAUAACAACAAAUAAGCCCGGAUUAGUUUUCCUUUCGGAGACUAAAAAGAAGCGCAAUUUUAUGGAUCGAUGGAAAUUGAAGUUUGGUUUUAUUCACUCUUUCUAUGUGGAACCAUCAGGGUCAUUAAGGGGAUUAGCUCUUUGGUGGGAUAAUUCUUUUUCUUUGCAGAUUUUGGGUGCCUCUUCUCGUUGGAUAGAUGUAUCUCGCAGCCGUUCCACCACCUGGCACGUUACUUUUGUUUACGGGGAGCCAGUGGAGCAAAAAGAAUUUCUUUUCUCAAGGAUCUUAGGUCCUUGAAUCUUCAUGAUGGAGAACCUUGGU
rnacentral:misc_RNA from 1 species